AUGAACGCUGGCGGCGUGCCUAAUACAUGCAAGUCGAACGAAUCUCUUUUAGAGAUGAGUGGCGAACGGGUGAGUAAUACAUAGGUAACCUGCCCCUGUGCGGGGGAUAACAGGAGGAAACUCCUGCUAAUACCGCAUAGCCAUGAGCACCGCAUGGAGCUCAUGCCAAAUAUCCUUUAUGGGAUAGCGCAGGGAUGGACCUAUGGCGCAUUAGCUGGUUGGCGGGGCAACGGCCCACCAAGGCAACGAUGCGUAGCCGGCCUGAGAGGGCGGACGGCCACAUUGGGACUGAGACACGGCCCAGACUCCUACGGGAGGCAGCAGUAGGGAAUUUUCGGCAAUGGGGGAAACCCUGACCGAGCAACGCCGCGUGAGCGAAGAAGGCCUUCGGGUCGUAAAGCUCUGUUGUAAAGGAAGAACGGCGCAUACAGGAAAUGGUAUGCGAGUGACGGUACUUUACCAGAAAGCCACGGCUAACUACGUGCCAGCAGCCGCGGUAAUACGUAGGUGGCGAGCGUUAUCCGGAAUCAUUGGGCGUAAAGAGGGAGCAGGCGGCCGCAAGGGUCUGUGGUGAAAGACCGAAGCUAAACUUCGGUAAGCCAUGGAAACCGGGCGGCUAGAGUGCGGAAGAGGAUCGUGGAAUUCCAUGUGUAGCGGUGAAAUGCGUAGAUAUAUGGAGGAACACCAGUGGCGAAGGCGACGGUCUGGGCCGCAACUGACGCUCAUUCCCGAAAGCGUGGGGAGCAAAUAGGAUUAGAUACCCUAGUAGUCCACGCCGUAAACGAUGGUCACUAAGUGUCGGGGGUCAAACCCCGGUGCUGCAGUCAACGCAAUAAGUGACCCGCCUGAGUAGUACGUUCGCAAGAAUGAAACUCAAAGGAAUUGACGGAAG
rnacentral:rRNA from 1 species